GCUGUAAUCUUCUGUAAGGUCGAGGUACUUCCCCAGUCGGACUGCUCGAGAUUUUAAGCAGAAUAUUUACUGUUGUGUCCUACAUUAGUUAAGUUUUUACUUUAAAAAAA